rnacentral:rRNA from 1 species
AGUGGCGAACGGGUGAGUAAUACAUCGGAACGUACCUUAUCGUGGGGGAUAACGCAGCGAAAGCUGUGCUAAUACCGCAUACGCCCUGAGGGGGAAAGCGGGGGAUCGAAAGACCUCGCGCGAUUAGAGCGGCCGAUGCCUGAUUAGCUUGUUGGUGGGGUAAAAGCCCACCAAGGCGACGAUCAGUAGCUGGUCUGAGAGGACGAUCAGCCACACUGGGACCGAGACACGGCCCAGACUCCUACGGGAGGCAGCAGUGGGGAAUUUUGGACAAUGGGGGAAACCCUGAUCCAGCAAUGCCGCGUGAGUGAAGAAGGCCUUCGGGUUGUAAAGCUCUUUUGUCAGGGAAGAAACACCGGCUCUAACACAGCCCGGGAAUGACGGUACCUGAAGAAUAAGCACCGGCUAACUACGUGCCAGCAGCCGCGGUAAUACGUAGGGUGCGAGCGUUAAUCGGAAUUACUGGGCGUAAAGCGUGCGCAGGCGGUUAUACAAGACAGGCGUGAAAUCCCCGGGCUUAACCUGGGAAUGGCGCCUGUGACUGUAUAGCUAGAGUGUGUCAGAGGGGGGUAGAAUUCCACGUGUAGCAGUGAAAUGCGUAGAUAUGUGGAGGAAUACCAAUGGCGAAGGCAGCCCCCUGGGAUAACACUGACGCUCAUGCACGAAAGCGUGGGGAGCAAACAGGAUUAGAUACCCUGGU